GCCGGUGUAGCUCAGUUGGCAGAGCGGGGGUUUUGUAAACCCCAGGUCGGGAGUUCGAAUCUCCCCGCCGGCU
rnacentral:tRNA from 1 species